rnacentral:rRNA from 1 species
AUUGAACGCUGGCGGCAGGCCUAACACAUGCAAGUCGAACGAGAGGCGGACGGGUGAGUAAUGUCGGGGAAACUGCCCGAUCGAGGGGGCAAAGUAAUGGAAAACGUAGAAAAUACCGCAUACGAUCGUAUGUGCCCAGAUGGGAUGAGCGAGUAGGUGGGGUAACGGCUCACCAAGGGAACGAUGCCUAGCUGGUCUGAGAGGAUGACCAGCCACACUGGAACGGAGACACGGUCCAUACUCCUACGGGAGGCUGCAGUGGGGAAUAGGGCUCAAUGGGCGAAAGCCUGAUGCAGCCAUGCCGCGUGUAUGAAGAAGGUUUUCGGGUUGGAAAGUACUGUCAGCGGGGACGCGUUACUCGCAGAGGAAGCCCCGGCUAACUCGGUGCCAGCCGCCGCGGUAAUAC